rnacentral:lncRNA from 12 species
CUAGUUUCAGGCAAAGAAAAUGUUUAUUGGGGAAAUGACCAUGUUGGCUGGAAUAAUUUAACAGUUGGGCUUGAGGAGAGACAAAAGCUGGAAGAUAGUCAGGAAGCACUUAUCUGUCAUGUAACAAAAUGUUCUAUUUUUUGUCACUGCCCACUGACAUGUCUUCUGACAACAUUGUUCUUGUCCCUGUCAUCUUGCUGGGUUCUGGCUGUCAGGCUGCUGGGCUCAUUAAGGUGUCACCAUCAAACCACAGAACACCGAUACUGGGAGGAAAUGUUGAAAUAACCAUCAGAGGCUUUUUCUUUCUUCCUUCCUGCCUUUCUGCAUUCCUUCUCAACCCCCAUUUCCUUUCUUCUCUCAAUUUGCCAAGGAUAUUUUCCCCCCUUCCCACAAACCUCAUAUUUUGAAACUAGAAUCAUCACAUCAAGUAAAUAUGAUUCUAGGCAAAAGCAAAGAAACUUAACACCUUUAUUAACACAGGUAGCCUUAACAUGGAUAAGUGUGCAAUUUCUAUUAGAUAUUUUGCAAUAUGAAAGUAGCUCAAAGACCCCAUAAUUUCCUUUGUUGAUGCCAAGGAGCAAAGCAUUCCAAGUUGGAAAUCAUGAAUCUAUCCUCAUCAUUUUCCAGAUGAGGAAAGUUUCUAAAACCCCUCAAAUUAACAUAAAUUACUGGGAGGACUCAUGGGUACUAAGUACACAGGAUAGGGUAGCAAUAUCAGAGAAUGAUCCGAGACCAUGAUGGUACAUUAGAAUCAACUGAACGGCUUUAAAAAAAAUACCAACACCCGUAUCCAGAGUUUCUGAUUGGUCUGAUGUGGGGCCAGGACAUCUGAUUUUUAUGUUCAGCUGAGAUUAAAGAGAUCACACUUGUUUUCAAGCACUGGGAGUAAUCAGUUACAUGGAUCUUCUAUUGAAGAGAGCUAGUCUCCUCACCCUCACCCCACCAUUCACUUUUCUAAGAGAAGAGGGACCUUAAUUCAGAAAUGAAGAAAGAGAUCAGCUGGGCUUUCAAAGGGAGGAAAUCCUAUUGGCUUAUAAAAGCCACACUGAAGACUUUUGCAGAGAUCUUGUAAACAGAAUGUAGUUGCAGGCAGAAGCCUGCCUGAGGCUAGGAAGGAUGGAAUAAGGGUAGUAAAUUGAUAUUGGAAAAGGGGUAAGCAUCUCCAGAGGUCAACUUGCUCAUCUGCAAAAGGAGUCUUAGGAAAUAUUGGUCUUGCUAGAUAAGAAGCACGUAACAGAAUAGGAAAUGAGGGAGACUGGCACACUGGAGACAGUACCCUGGAACGAGGACAACCCACCGUAUCAUUGCAAGAAUAGGAUCCCAGUGCUGGAAGACUGCCUAAUUUUUAAAGGUAAGCCCCAAAUUCAGACUUUUAUGU